AUUCGGGACGUUUUGGCUAACGAUUUAACCCACCCCCAAAUUCCCACUUGUCCCAUAAUUCCACAUUUUACAUAACAAAUCAUUUCAUCUUCAGUCUUGUACAUUUCUCAACCAAUUCAAAUCCUUUCAUCAGCACUACUACUACUAUCUUAGUAGUAUCUUACUACUACUACUACUACUACCACUGUCUUACUACUACUACUGUCUUAGUACUACUAUCUUACUACUACUACUACUACUACUGUCUUAGUACAACUAUCUUACUACUACUACUACUACUAUCUUACUACUACUACUACUACUAUCUUACUACUACAACUACUACUACUACUAUCUUACUACUACUACUACUGUCUUACUAUCUUACUACUACUACUACUGUCUUACUACUACUACUACUACUGUCUUACUACUACUACUACUGUCUUACUAUCUUACUACUACUACUAUCUUACUACUACUACUACUACUGUCUUACUACUACUAUCUUACUACUACUACUACUACUGUCUUACUACUACUACUACUAUCUUACUAUCUUACUACUACUGUGUUACUAUCUUACUACUACUACUACUACUACUGUCUUACUACUACCACUGUCUUACUACUACCACUGUCUUACAGUACUACUACUAUCUUAUUACUUCUACUAUAGUAGUAAGAUAGUAGUAUACUAGUACUUCUACUAUCUUACUACUACUUCCACUCGAUUUCCCAGCCCAUAAAUUCCAGUUGAGCUUUUAUUCUUUCUGCUUUGCACGUUGAACUUGAGAAUUCUUACUAUUUCCACGUUUCUUAUUCAAAACAUCCCCAUUUAAAAAUGUGCUCAUUCCCAUACAGAAUUUCUUUCUUGGUAAUUCAGCUCAAAGUGUUUUACUGACGUGAAUAGCAUAAUUUAUAUUGGGAGAUCUCUAACAGUAGAUUUGGGAUUUUGGGCAAAAUAAUGUAGAAAAUGCACAUUUGACCUUUGGGUUGGUACACAUGGGCAGACUUAUGCAGGAUAUUGAUUGUUUAUUACAACGUAUUUUUGAAACCCAUUUUUUUGCAUCCUCAUUGCAAAUGUUCUGCUAUUUUUUAAACAAAAAAUGGUGUCUACAUCACUAGUUUAGGUGUUACAUCAGGUCAAUAAGUAUUUUGCACGUUAAGGUCUGAAUUCUUAUUAGAAAUGGAUGCAAGAUGCAGGAUGCAAUCUUUAAGGGGUGAGUACAUGAUAGAAACGCCAGACAAGACAAAUGCAAAUAUGUCUGUAGUAAUGAGCAGAAUGAAGGAAGGAAGGAAGGAAGGAAGGUGGUUCCAGCGUCCUUCCAAAGCCGCCUGGAUGCUUCCGGAUUGGGAAGUCUUGUCAAACCGUUUCCGCCGCCAUUGCGGAUUUUGGACACAAGCUCAUCAGCGGCCGUCCAUCGAUGCCGUGCAGCAAGCGAACACCCAAAACAGACACAUUAAGCAUCUUUACGGGUACGUCGCUUGGGUGGCACGUUUAGCAUCUCGUAUAUUUUGCCGUCCUCUAUAUUUGUUGUAUUUCCACGGACUGGAUCCGACCUACACGUAGCGCGAGGAGGUCGUAGUAGCUAGCUCUCCCGCUAGCUAGCACAACGGCUAACAUUUCUACAACGCUGGAGAAGCUCGAGGAAAACACCAUGUCCCAAAUCCUGCCCAUCCGCUUCCAGGAGCACCUACAGCUCCAGAACCUGGGUAUCAACCCAGCCAAUAUUGGAUUCAGCACUCUGACCAUGGAGUCCGACAAGUUCAUCUGCAUAAGAGAGAAGGUGGGUGAGCAGGCCCAGGUUGUCAUUAUUGACAUGGCCGAUCCAAACAACCCCAUUCGUAGGCCCAUCUCUGCAGACAGCGCCAUCAUGAACCCUGCCAGCAAAGUCAUCGCCCUUAAAGCGGCCAAGACCUUGCAGAUCUUCAACAUCGAGAUGAAGAGCAAGAUGAAGGCUCACACAAUGACAGACGACGUGACUUUCUGGAAGUGGAUCUCCCUCAACACAGUGGCCCUGGUCACAGAUAACGCCGUCUACCACUGGAGCAUGGAGGGCGACUCCCAGCCGAUCAAAGUCUUCGACCGACACUCCAGCCUGGCGGGUUGCCAGAUCAUCAACUACCGCACCGACGCCAAACAGAAGUGGUUGCUGCUCAUUGGCAUUUCAGCGCAGCAAAACCGUGUUGUUGGAGCAAUGCAGUUGUACUCGGUGGACAGGAAGGUUUCCCAGCCCAUCGAAGGUCACGCUGCUGGAUUUGCACAAUUCAAGAUGGAGGACAACACAGAGGAGUCUACUCUGUUCUGCUUUGCUGUGCGAGGACAGGCAGGCGGAAAACUGCAUAUAAUUGAAGUUGGCACUCCACCAACUGGGAACCAGCCAUUUCCAAAGAAAGCUGUAGACGUAUUUUUUCCUCCAGAAGCCCAGAAUGACUUCCCUGUUGCCAUGCAGAUCAGCUCCAAGCAGGAUGUAGUGUUUCUCAUCACCAAAUAUGGCUACAUCCACCUGUAUGACUUGGAAACAGGCACCUGCAUCUACAUGAACAGGAUCAGUGGGGAGACCAUUUUUGUCACUGCGCCCCAUGAGCCAACUGCCGGCAUCAUUGGCGUCAACAGGAAAGGACAGGUGUUGUCGGUGUGCGUGGAGGAGGAGAACAUUAUUCCAUACAUCACCAACGUGCUCCAGAACCCCGACUUGGCUCUCCGCAUGGCUGUCCGCAAUAACCUUGCCGGUGCCGAAGAGCUGUUUGCCCGCAAAUUUAACACCCUCUUUGCUGCAGGGAAUUACUCAGAUGCUGCCAAAGUGGCGGCCAAUGCACCCAAGGGUAUACUACGGACACCAGAUACCAUCCGCCGCUUUCAGAGCGUUCCUGCUCAACCGGGCCAGCGGUCACCGUUACUUCAGUACUUUGGUAUCUUACUGGAUCAAGGACAGCUAAACAAGUUUGAGUCUCUGGAGCUGUGCAGGCCAGUCCUGCAGCAGGGCCGUAAACAGCUGCUGGAGAAAUGGCUGAAAGAGGACAAGCUGGAGUGCUCAGAGGAGCUAGGGGACCUGGUGAAGUCGGUGGAUCCCACACUCGCCCUCAGUGUUUACCUGAGAGCCAAUGUCCCCAACAAAGUCAUUCAGUGCUUUGCAGAAACUGGCCAGUUCCAGAAGAUUGUACUUUAUGCCAAGAAGGUGGGUUACACUCCAGACUGGAUCUUCUUGUUAAGGAAUGUCAUGCGGAUCAGCCCAGAGCAAGGUCUUCAGUUCUCCCAGAUGCUGGUGCAGGAUGAAGAGCCUCUUGCUGACAUCACGCAGAUUGUAGAUGUCUUCAUGGAGUACAACCUGAUUCAGCAAUGCACAUCCUUCCUACUAGAUGCCCUGAAGAACAACAGACCGAUGGAAGGACCACUGCAGACACGUUUACUGGAAAUGAAUUUGGUCCAUGCACCCCAGGUUGCAGAUGCCAUUCUGGGCAACCAGAUGUUCACUCACUACGACCGUGCACAUGUGGCACAGCUGUGUGAGAAGGCUGGUCUCCUGCAGAGGGCGCUAGAGCAUUACACUGAUCUCUAUGACAUCAAGCGAGCUGUGGUCCACACGCAUCUCCUCAACCCAGAGUGGCUAGUCAAUUUCUUUGGCUCCUUGUCAGUAGAGGACUCUUUGGAGUGUCUUCAGGCCAUGUUGUCAGCUAACAUCCGCCAGAACCUGCAGAUUUGUGUUCAGGUUGCCUCCAAGUACCAUGAGCAGCUCACCACUCAGUCCCUCACUGAACUCUUUGAGUCGUUCAAGAGCUUUGAAGGUUUGUUCUACUUUUUGGGUUCCAUUGUGAACUUUAGCCAGGACCCAGAGGUUCACUUCAAAUACAUUCAGGCUGCUUGCAAGACGGGCCAAAUCAAAGAGGUGGAAAGAAUCUGCAGAGAAAGUAACUGCUACGACCCCGAGCGUGUGAAGAAUUUCCUCAAGGAAGCCAAGCUGACUGAUCAGUUGCCAUUGAUCAUCGUGUGUGACCGCUUUGAUUUUGUCCAUGAUCUGGUCCUGUACUUGUAUCGCAACAGCCUGCAGAAAUACAUUGAGAUCUAUGUGCAGAAGGUAAACCCAAGUCGUCUGCCGGUGGUUAUUGGAGGCUUGCUGGAUGUUGAUUGUGCAGAAGAUGUGAUCAAGAACCUGAUCAUGGUUGUGAGAGGACAGUUCUCCACAGACGAGUUAGUUGCUGAAGUGGAGAAGAGAAAUCGACUCAAGCUUCUGCUUCCUUGGUUGGAAGCCCGUAUUCAUGAAGGCUGUGAAGAGCCUGCCACCCAUAAUGCCUUGGCCAAGAUCUACAUAGACAGCAACAACAACCCUGAGCGCUUUUUGAGGGAGAACCCCUUUUACGACAGCCGUGUGGUGGGCAAGUACUGUGAGAAGAGAGACCCCCACCUGGCCUGCGUUGCAUAUGAAAGAGGACAGUGUGACCAGGAAUUGAUUAAUGUGUGCAAUGAAAACUCACUAUUUAAGAGUCUGUCACGCUACCUGGUGCGUCGGAAGAACCCUGAGCUGUGGGCUAGUGUGCUGCUAGAGACCAACAACUACAGAAGGCCACUCAUAGACCAGGUAGUCCAGACAGCCCUGACGGAGACCCAGGAUCCUGAGGAGGUAUCUGUCACAGUCAAGGCUUUCAUGACCGCUGACCUUCCUAAUGAGCUUAUCGAGCUUUUGGAGAAGAUUGUCCUGGAUAACUCUGUCUUCAGCGAGCAUAGAAACCUCCAAAACCUGCUCAUCCUGACAGCGAUCAAAGCUGAUCGGACCCGUGUCAUGGAGUACAUUAACCGUCUAGACAACUAUGAUGCCCCAGAUAUUGCAAACAUUGCAAUUAGCAAUGAGCUGUUUGAGGAGGCCUUUGCUAUUUUUAGGAAAUUUGAUGUCAACACCUCUGCUGUGCAGGUUCUGAUUGAGCACAUCGGCAACCUGGACAGAGCCUAUGAGUUUGCUGAGCGCUGCAAUGAGCCCCCAGUGUGGAGUCAGCUGGCAAAGGCCCAGCUCCAGAAGGGCCUGGUCAAAGAAGCUAUUGACUCCUACAUCAAGGCUGACGACCCCUCUGCUUACAUGGAGGUGGGACAAGCUGCGGCUCUGAGUGGCAACUGGGAAGACCUGGUGAAGUUUCUGCAGAUGGCCCGCAAAAAGGCCCGCGAGUCCUAUGUUGAAACUGAGCUAAUCUUUGCUCUGGCUAAGACCAACCGCCUUGCAGAGCUGGAAGAGUUUAUCAAUGGACCCAAUAAUGCUCACAUCCAGCAAGUGGGUGACAGGUGCUAUGACGACAAGAUGUAUGAGGCAGCCAAGCUGCUUUACAACAAUGUGUCCAAUUUUGGCCGCCUGGCCUCCACUCUUGUGCACCUGGGGGAGUACCAGGCAGCGGUGGACGGAGCUCGCAAGGCCAACAGCACACGUACCUGGAAGGAGGUCUGCUUUGCAUGCGUUGAUGGGAAAGAGUUCCGACUCAGCCAAAUGUGCGGACUGCAUAUUGUUGUCCACGCGGAUGAGCUGGAGGAACUCAUCAACUAUUACCAGGACCGUGGUUACUUUGAGGAGCUAAUCACCAUGCUGGAGGCCGCUUUGGGACUGGAGCGGGCUCACAUGGGCAUGUUCACAGAGCUAGCAAUCCUCUACUCUAAAUUCAAACCCCAGAAGAUGAGAGAGCACCUGGAGCUCUUCUGGUCCCGUGUUAACAUUCCAAAGGUUCUCAGGGCAGCUGAGCAGGCACACCUUUGGGCAGAGCUGGUCUUCCUCUAUGAUAAGUAUGAGGAGUAUGACAACGCCAUCAUCACCAUGAUGAACCAUCCUGCUGAUGCCUGGAAAGAGGGCCAGUUCAAAGACAUUGUCACCAAGGUGGCUAAUGUGGAGCUGUACUACAAAGCCAUCCAUUUUUAUCUGGAGUUCAAACCCUUGUUAUUAAAUGACCUGCUCAUCGUUCUCUCGCCACGACUGGACCACACACGCGCUGUCAACUUUUUCAGCAAGGUGAAGCAGGUGCCGCUGGUAAAACCAUACCUAAGGUCCGUGCAGAAUCACAACAACAAGUCUGUCAAUGAGGCUCUCAACAACCUCUUCAUUGUCGAGGAAGACUAUGCAGCACUGCGUACUUCCAUCGAUGCUUACGACAACUUUGACAACAUCUCGCUGGCCCAAGGCCUAGAGAAGCAUGACUUGAUCGAGUUCAGAAGGAUCGCGGCGUACCUUUUUAAGGGCAACAACCGCUGGAAACAGAGUGUGGAGCUCUGCAAGAAGGAUAAGCUCUACAAGGACGCCAUGCAGUAUGCAUCCGAGUCCAAAGACAUUGAACUGGCAGAGGAGCUGCUGGCUUGGUUCCUGGAGGAGGACAAGAAGGAGUGCUUCGCCGCCUGCCUGUUCACCUGCUACGACCUAUUGCGGCCCGACGUAGUGCUGGAGACCGCCUGGAGGCACAACAUCAUGGACUUUUCAAUGCCAUACUUCAUCCAGGUCAUGCGAGAGUACCUCAGUAAGGUCGAUGCGAUAAAGGAAAAGGUGAACGUUGAAUCAGUUUCCUAAUCGUCCUUACUGACUCCCCACCCUUUCCCUUUCCUGUAGUAGUUUGGAGUGGGACGUGUAAAGCUAGCAAAAACUGCAUGACCCCUCUCCCACUUGGUCACUAUGCUGCUUUCCAUGUAUGCAGUCUUUGCAUCUCCACUAGAUCACUUAACUAUUUCACCAUACGCCAGAGUGGGGCUCUCCACACCCAUGCUCACGGGGUUCACUGAGGAAGAAUUGGACAAACACCUUUUGGAGUAGAUUUCAUCUAUGUGGGACACAAGCCAUCAUAAUAAUGGCAAAUAGUGGCCUGCCAAUGAUAAAUGCCUUAUCCCAUACAUGCGUAAUACUUCCUGCAGUUGAGUAAAUUAACCACUGGCCACGACUAAAAGUAACGCCCUAUUUUAAAAUACUUAUACUUUUCACAAGCAAUGGAUAUGAGAGGAGACUAUUGUAUUUCAAAUUUCAUACGAACACCAGAAUUCGCUGGCAGAUUGUCAACCGGCCCAGGAAUCACCUCAACCAACUUCACCAGGAACUUUAAUCUUUAGACUGGUAUGGUAUUUCAAACUAGUAAAUCAUCAUUAAAAAAAAGAAUAGACUCAAUUGGCAUACAUUAAACACAAAAAUGUAAGAAAAAAAUCAUUUCUAAAUAAAAUGAUCGUUAUGGGUGGGAAGUAAUAAAAAAGGGAUUACCUUUCAAUCACCAUCUAUAUGGAGAAAUAUGGUAAAUCAGGAUGUUUCUAACUAUGUGGAUGAACAUGGAACAUACUCAUGCAGUACAUCCCUAUCAAUUAGAAUUUCACGAGUUCCAUUCACAUGUAUUCUAUAGAUUCAGUACACACAGAGUCUUUCUUCAUUUUGAUGAUGAUAAACCCCCAAAUGUGGUGUCUCAUAAAACAUGAAAGUUAGUCCAAAUAUAUAUAUAUAUAUAUAUAUAUAAAAAACUACUGGUUUGUACUCGAGUUAGCAGAAGAACUGCAAAAGCUUCCUGAGCCUUCAGUUACUCUGUUUGUCCUCAUGGAAGUCUGGGAUGUGUCAUUUAUUGAGCCGCUUACAUGUCCAUGUCCAUGUCCAUGUUCCAGCUGGCCGUCAUAAAAUCAGUUUAUGUGCAGCAAAGCUUCCAGCUCCUCUUUUCGGUGAGGAAGUGAAGAGCACCACUCUGGACUACUACUGUACCACGUCUGCAGUCUCACACACUUCCAGAUGUUCAACUCGUUGUUGUUAGGCCGCCAUGCUACAGUACUUGUUGGGCUCAGAAUAUUUCCUUCAGGUCAUUCGUGUGCUAUAAGAGAAGAUCAAAAACAAACAGCAGUUGCACACAUUUGUCAAAGGGAAUCAUGUUUGUUGAUGGAUAUCCUUCCCAACACAAUAGUCAAAUAACCUGUAGCUCAGGAAGCAGAGUUAGCAAAGACCAUGUGACCAUGAUUGUGGAUCAGCACGCAUGUGCUAGCAUCAUCAGCACCAGGCUAGGAGACGUCGUCGUUGGCUGUGCCUGCUUCUGGAAACAUUGAAGUGGCUGUACCACAGCAUCCUGUCUGCCCUUCCUCCACUCUCACUCCACUAAGGCACCGUGCUUUUCUCUUUUCUCUUUUUCACGCACUCGUCAAGACCAACGUAACUACAAAAAAAUGCUGCUUCGGCAUGUCUCUCAAGCCUUCUUUUCUAAAAAAACAAACAACAAUUCAACAGCUAUCGCAAUUACAUUGAUGGACCAGUCUGUAUGUAGAGAACCGAACCCAGUACCAGUACCAGUACCAGGACAGCAUUCAGCAGUCUUCCAACAGCAGAUUGUUUCUAACUGGUUUUGCUGGCUGCUUUUGCUGGUACUUUCCUGUUGCUAAUACGCUAGAGACCUAAAAUGCUUCAAAAGGAAACACAACUAAUAUGUUCUACAGCUAAACAAAGGUCACUUAGGUUAACCUCUGUUAGUUCUACGUAAAAUAAUAGCACUUGUUAGUAAUGACUUGCAAAGGUGUCACCUUGCAGAUGCAUCAGUCACACAAUUCAUCACAGCUUCCCACUGUGAUAGACCACCACAAUGUAUGCCACCAGACCAGGGGUCGGCAACCCACGGCUCUUCAGCCUCCUUGUAGGGAAGGGAGGUAGGCUCGUGUAUGCGAUGAGAAAAAAGUUGACCGAGUUUGGAGUUGAGUCUGAAGCAAGUAAAAUAAAAGUAUAGAAUUUACGAGAGCGUAGCCAUAUGUUUUGUAACAAGAAGCGCGCUGUAGCCACCGUAUGUGUUGGGAGCCCGUGACGCGCUCAUCGCCGAGGUGGGGACUCCAGUGUGUGCUGCGGGAACAAUACGUCGCUUUUGGGAAAAUAAAUAAAUCACCAAGAGGGUUUGGAAAGUCACCAGAUUUAGUUGGCAACACUGGGCUGCACAUGAGAUCCUAAGGGGGGGGACGCCGCUCACAGAAGGAGAAUAAGUAAAAGAAUCGCUCAUAAAAUAUCAGAGCAUCUAUUCUUCAAAUUAAAAAAACAAACCAGAAAUGAUUGAGAAAGUCAAAGGAUCCAGUCAAGGACAGGAUCAAUAGAAUGGUUAUUGAUUAUUGAGCAACAACACUCAUGCAAAAAUGUGAACUCUGAUGAGCUUUUUCAUGUUAAAGUUGGCUACAUUUUGUUUUCAUUUGAAACAAGCACUGAAAAAGGCAUGUGGAUGAUUUGAUCUGAAUCAGGUAACUUUUCUAGAAGAUUACAACUUUGACAAGUUUAUCAGCUGUGUCAUGUUUUGUGGCUCUUUUACUGGAAGAGGAGGCAAGAUGGUUGUGAUGCUAAAGGUCGACCCCUGCACCAAACACACAGAGCACAAUUAGAGCGGUUGGUUAGUUUUAUCAGCUGUUAACAUCCAACUAAAUAUGAUAGACAUGAAAGAAGGGAGCCAUCCGCACGGGAACCUUUAAGUAUAUUUGGAAAAUGGCUUCCAGAGUGGGAAAAUCUGAAAACAACAACAACGUCACGUCUGGUCACCCUCACGUGACCAGACGUGAGCUUAAUAUUUGAAUAUUUGGACAGACGCGACUCACCCCAGUGGACAUUCUCCUCUUCUCCUCAGUCUUGAUGUGUCUCGGAAAGCAUGCCUUCUUUCUUCUUCUAUGGUUUGGUGUGUCAUAUGGUUGUGCCCGCGUAUGUGCUGACAGCGCUACACGCAGGUGUGCUUGUUUAUUACAUGGUUUCACACAGUGAUCCCUUCCCUUGCUCACGCAGCACAGUGUCCAUGCAACUUUUUUUUCAACCCGCCUCACAAAAAAAUCCCAACAACAUUCCCGUGUGGACAGGACCUAAGGACCUAUUUUACACGCUAAAAAAAUGUCAGGCGGUGGGUCACAGCAUCAAAAAAUGUCUUUUUGGGGCAACGAGUGAGUAUCCUUAACUCAUGAAAGAAAUGCUGCGAUGAAAGAGCCAAUUAGCACCACGAGCCACAGGUGGUGUGUACUGGUGACAGGUUGGUUCUCUACAUACUACAUUAGAUACCUGGGGUGGCUGGAUGGGUGGGACCAUGAUUGCCACGUAGAUCUGUGUUUGUAUCUCCCCUCCACGUCCUCCACACCAGACAGUUUAUCCCCAUGAUGUUCAUGUCAGUAGCUGCCUUGUAGCGCUUUAGUAGUUUUAGCUGCUUAAUGGAGGACGUCCUGCAGCCCGUUUGCAUACUCGUCUCCUCCGCCUGUCAGGAAUGGUCCCAUCCUUCAGCCAGUCAAAUAACCCAGAGGUGGACAAACUGGAAGCAUCAGAGUCCCUAAGGAAACAGGAGGAGCAGGCCACCGAAUCUCAACCCAUUGUUUAUGAUCUCAAUUUCCGAUAGUGAUAUCCGCCGAUACAGGUAUGUGUAACAUGACAUUUCUCCUGUGGAAUGAACAGGAGUGGCUGCCUUUCAAGCUGCUCUGUGUGUUUACUCAAGCACGUUUUUACGUGCCGUGAGAGCGACGUCCCGCAUCUGUGUGAUGCCCUGUCUACACACUGAUAUCGAGGCGGCAGAACCGGGGCUAAGAAGAAAGCCAAGCGGCUAGCAAGGAAGUGGACAUUCAAGCCUUUGGUACCUUCUAUUAUCACGGGAAACGUGAAUUCACUAGCGAGCAAGAUGGACGAGCUGGCAAGAACGUCAAGACCUUCAAGGAGCACAGCUUAUUUGUGCUUCCCUGAAUGGCUAAGAGCUAGCAUCCCAGAUGUUAACGUGGAGCUAGCCGACUUCAGGACAGUCAGAGCGGACAGGAACACAAGAGCCUGAGGGAAGCUUAAAGGAGGUGGCCAUGUGAAUUUUAAGAUGUACAUCUAUUCGGAGUUCCCUCGUUUAACGCGGGGGUUAGGUUCUAAAAAAUACCAGUGUUAAGUGAAAUCUGUGUAAUAGAAGUUGAUUUUGUUUUUUUCGGUCAUUAUGUAUUUUUUAGUUUACAGUGCAUGUUUUUUUCAUUUACAGUAUAUGUUUUUUUGUUUAUUGUAUGUUUUAAGGCACCACACACUUUAUCCACAAUAUACAGUAUCUGUUGCGCACGAGGGCCUUGAAAGCACAGGUUACGCUUCUUGGUCCAUGGGCGGAAUCUGCGAUGUCUUGUUUCCAAAAUAAGCCUGUCUCAACCAUAUUAAAAACUUGUUCAGGCUUACAUCCUCCUUCCUCCAUGAUGGCUUCACAUUUGUUUAUGAAUAGCUCUGCCUUGGCAUCCACAGAGGCGGCCUCUCCGUGGUCUUGUUGCGGACAGUUAAAGCCCUUUUUGCAUCCUUUAUGGUUGAAGAUUCAUUUAUUCCGUAAUGCCGCCCUACAGCUGCGUAAGUUGUACCUUCCUUCAACAUGUCCAGAAUUCCAACUUUUUUUCGUACUUUAUAGCGAUCUAAUGUAUCUUAUUUAUGAUGUAUUGUGUAAAACUAAGACAUGAAUAACAUCAAAUUAAAAGCACAAAAUGAAUGCCGACCCACCAGUUCAAGUUCCAGCCAAGUGUUUCCAGAGAGAAGAUGACAUGGCUGUUUGACGUUUGUGGUAAAAGGCAGUGUGCUAGCAUGAAUUCACUUCAGACAAAUGUGCACAUUAGCACUCAAUAAGUCAUCCAAACUUACCUUCAUGCAUUCCCACAAAGUAUCAGCAUUUACACCAAAUAUGAGGUGAAAGAAAAAUGGUACAAAUACAGUAGUAGUCUAUUUGUGCAGCAUGAGAUAAAGUUAGCACACCCACAAUGGACAUGCGUCAAGUGAGACGGAUGUAACAGAGAAUCCGGCCACUUUUCAAAUUAAAACAUAACAAAAAUGAAAUAAUGUAAAUUAUUUUUUCUUUCUGUGCAGCCCGGUACCAGAUGACCCACGGCCUGGUACCGGGCCGCGGCCCUGGGGUUGGGGACCACUGCUGUACAGGACACAUGGCAUGGAGGAGAUUGAUUGAUGGCCACACUCCCUUAGCCAAUCGGGACGCAGGAGACAAUGCAGGUUCUCCCUUAGCGAAUCAGGACGCAGAACACAAAGUAUUCAUACGCUGUUAAAAAAAAAAAAAACAUGCUACACCGGGGGUCACCAAGGUUUUUGCUUGUGAGAGCUACUUUUACAAAAUGAAAAUGGCCGAGAGCUACUCAUUUUUGUAACAUUUAUUUUCAGAGCUUAUUUUAAACCCAAACAAAGCAAAUAUGCUUGUUUUACCAGAACAUGAACAAAAUGCUGGUGUCCACAACUCACAUGUUGUAUUUCAGAAUGCAUUUCUUUCUACUGUUCUUUCAUUAUGAACUGAAAACCUGAAUGAAAAGCAGGCUUGCGGGCACCUCAUGUGGUCGUGGGGGGCUACCUGGUGCCCGCGGGCACCACGUUGGUGACCCCUGUGCUACACUGUAAAAAAUUGCACACAAAAAAAAUCUGUAAUAGCCAGGCUGUGUAAAGUGAACCGCGUUAUAGCGAGGGAACACUGUAUGUAUGUGUGCGUAUAUACUGUAUGUAUGUAGUACAUAUACAGUAUACUGUAUGUUAGAUGAUGAUAGAUGAGAGGUUGUAUUACAUUACAUCAUAUUACAUUACGUAUAUUACAUUGUUAUGUUACCUUGACACUGCAUGGGGUCAGUCGUGGCUGGUCCAACAUAAUUGAGUGAAAAGAGGUACUCCUCACAUUCUGUGUGGAAGUGGUAAGUUUUUGGUUAAUUUGACCUUCUUCCCCACUCCGUUUGAAACACUAAGUUAGUUUAGAAUAAGUUUAUUUGAGAGGCUAAAUAGUUAGCUCAGUAGCUUGCUAUGCUAGCUGCAGCUGUAUCUUAUGUCCCUGCAGUGAUCUUGCAGCCUGCACAAUGUGUUGUAAACAAUGAAUAAGAGGAGUGUAACUAGGGGUGUUAUUUCAUGUGUAAUGAUGUUAAAGUAAAGUUUAGAAGGUCAUUAAUGUCUUAUUUUAUGUUGGCUAUAUUGUGUAAUAGGAGUGUCAAGGGGUGUUAUUUCAUGUCUCCAGGGCUCUAAUAGUGUUAAAAAGUGUAUGUAGAAGGUGGUAAACAGGUUUUCUAUGCUGUAGCUGUGAAAAUACUGUGUUUAUGAACACUGAAUGGAACCAGUGAACCACCUUAAAUGAGGGAUGACUGGAGAAUGUUGUAGUUUUUGUCACAAGGACCUUGAGUGUUUUGACUUUUUUUUUUACAAAUUGUUGUGCUUUUACAGCAACGUUUGGGUCAGCUGAUGUUUUUUUAUUGUCAAAUGAGUGCAUAGAUUAAC